CUCCUUCCUCCCAUCCCUGCUGCCACGGAGGCUGCCUUUUGUGCAUUGUGCCGUCUUAGCGGGAGAGAGGGUUCGGAGGAGAAUCGAAUUUCCUGGCCGUAUCUGUUUGCCGGUGCCCGGUGCACCCUGGGAUGCUAACGAACAGUGACAGAUGAGUUUCAAUUGACUGGCGCGUGUGAAGAACCACUGGACCAGACAAAGAGGUCCAUGCAGCGAGCCUGGAAACCUCGAUGACAGCCACCCUGCCGUCCAAAAGUGGACAGCCAAGUCCCAGACAGAAAGCAUGGAAGUGGAUGGGCCCAGAUUGAAGACUAGAGUCCCCACCUAGAGCACAGGGUACUUGCCAACAGAGGUCUUGGUCCAGUGGCUCCUAUAGGCAGAGACUGCCUUUCAGACCAUCUCCAGCUCGGCAGCCCAAGC
rnacentral:lncRNA from 1 species